UACGUAGGGUGCAAGCGUUAAUCGGAAUUACUGGGCGUAAAGCGUGCGCAGGCGGUUGUGCAAGACAGAUGUGAAAUCCCUGGGCUUAACCUGGGAACUGCAUUUGUGACUGCACGGCUAGAGUGUGUCAGAGGGGGGUAGAAUUCCACGUGUAGCAGUGAAAUGCGUAGAUAUGUGGAGGAAUACCGAUGGCGAAGGCAGCCCCCUGGGAUGGCACUGACGCUCAUGCACGAAAGCGUGGGGAGCAAACAGG
rnacentral:rRNA from 1 species